rnacentral:Y_RNA from 1 species
GGCUGGUCCAACGGUAGUAGGUUAUCAGAACUUAUUAAUAUUAGUAUCACUAAAAUUGGUAUACAGCCCCCCACUGCUAAAUUUGACUGGCUUAG